rnacentral:rRNA from 1 species
GAGUUUGAUCUUGGCUCAGAUUGAACGCUGGCGGCAGGCCUAACACAUGCAAGUCGAGCGGAUGACGGGAGCUUGCUCCUUGAUUCAGCGGCGGACGGGUGAGUAAUGCCUAGGAAUCUGCCUGGUAGUGGGGGACAACGUUUCGAAAGGAACGCUAAUACCGCAUACGUCCUACGGGAGAAAGCAGGGGACCUUCGGGCCUUGCGCUAUCAGAUGAGCCUAGGUCGGAUUAGCUAGUUGGUGGGGUAAUGGCUCACCAAGGCGACGAUCCGUAACUGGUCUGAGAGGAUGAUCAGUCACACUGGAACUGAGACACGGUCCAGACUCCUACGGGAGGCAGCAGUGGGGAAUAUUGGACAAUGGGCGAAAGCCUGAUCCAGCCAUGCCGCGUGUGUGAGAAGGUCUUCGGAUUGUAAAGCACUUUAAGUUGGGUAGGAAGGGCAGUAAGUUAAGUACCUUGCUGUUUUGACGUUACCGACAGAAUAAGCACCGGCUAACUCUGUGACAGCAG